GGCAAAAGGCCGGCGGCGACCCAGUCCAGCCGAUCGGACUUCGAGAUGGUGCCACGGCGAGAGCAUCGAUGCAGGUGGUUCGUGGCAAGUUUCCCCAACACGUCAUCUCCCUCGGCCGCCUCGCUCCCCUCACCUGUCCGUAUGUGACUAUUUUGUGUGGGGUUACCUCAAAUCAAAGUUCUUCAGAAAGAAACCACGCAACAUCCAGGAACUGAAGGAUUCCAUUCGCCAGGAAAUCGCAAUGCAGAAUUUCGAGGAGAGGCUGCAAGAGUGCGUUCAGAAGGAAGGGCGUCACUUGACGGACUUUACUUUUCGGAAGUAAUUCAAAAAUGUUCAACAAAAACUGCAUUGUAAAACCUUUCUUUCUGUGUAAUUAAAAUUUUUUUAACUU